rfam:Paenibacillus dendritiformis C454 PDENDC1000010, whole genome shotgun sequence.
UUCUUAUCAAGAGUGGCGGAGGGACAGGCCCUGUGAAGCCCGGCAACCGAUCCUGCAACCCGUAUUUGCUCGCAGCUUACCGCUGCCGCAAGAUUGCAGGGUGUCAAUGGUGCUAAUUCCUUCAGAACGGAUAAGUUCUGGCAGAUAAGAA